UACGUAGGGUGCAAGCGUUAAUCGGAAUUACUGGACGUAAAGCGUGCGCAGGCGGUUUUGUAAGUCUGACGUGAAAUCCCCGGGCUCAACCUGGGAAUUGCGUUGGAGACUGCAAGGCUUGAAUCUGGCAGAGGGGGGUAGAAUUCCACGUGUAGCAGUGAAAUGCGUAGAGAUGUGGAGGAACACCGAUGGCGAAGGCAGCCCCCUGGGUCAAGAUUGACGCUCAUGCACGAAAGCGUGGGGAGCAAACAGG
rnacentral:rRNA from 1 species